rnacentral:rRNA from 1 species
AAUUGGAGGGCAAGUCUGGUGCCAGCAGCCGCGGUAAUUCCAGCUCCAAUAGCGUAUAUUAAAGUUGUUGCAGUUAAAAAGCUCGUAGUUGAAUUUCGAGACCGGUUUAUUGGUCGUGCUUUUGUACGUACUGGUAUUAUUGGUUUCUCCUUUCUGACGAAUCUUAAUGCCAUUAAUUUGGUGUUUUGGGGAAUCAGGACUGUUACUUUGAAAAAAUUAGAGUGUUUAAAGCAGGCUCACGCUUGAAUACAUUAGCAUGGAAUAACGGAAUAGGACGUUUGAUUCUAUUUUGUUGGUUUCUAGGAUCGACGUAAUGAUUAAUAGGGAUAGUUGGGGGCAUUAGUAUUCAAUUGUCAGAGGUGAAAUUCUUGGAUUUAUUGAAGACUAACUACUGCGAAAGCAUUUGCCAAGGAUGUUUUCAUUAAUCAAGAACGAAAGUUAGGGGAUCGAAGACGAUCAGAUACCGUCGUAGUCUUAACCAUAAACUAUGCCGACUAGGGAUCGGAUGAUGUUAAUUUUUUAAUGACUCAUUCGGCGCCUUACGGGAAACCAAAGUGU